GAUGAAGAACGUAGCGAAAUGCGAUAAGUAAUGUGAAUUGCAGAAUUCAGUGAAUCAUCGAAUCUUUGAACGCACCUUGCACCCUUUGGCUAUUCCGAAGGGUAUGCCUGUUCGAGCGUCAUUUCAACCCUCAAGCUCUGCUUGGUGUUGGGCCCUGCCCGCUGCGGCCGGCCCUAAAGACAGUGGCGGUGCCGCCUGGCCCUGAGCGUAGUACAUCUCUCGCUCCAGUGCCCGGUGGUAGCCUGCCAGAACCCCAACUCUCGUGGUUGACCUCGGAUCAGGUAGGGAUACCCGCUGAACUUAAGCAUAUCAAUAAGCGGAGGA
rnacentral:misc_RNA from 1 species